rnacentral:rRNA from 1 species
UAUUGUUUUAGAUAUUAAAUAUUACGUAGUAUAGUAAUUGGUAAAUAUGUUUUUAGGGGUGAUAGGCUUUUCAAAUUUGUUGAUAACUUGAUACACAAUAAAAUUAUUAAGUAUUAAGUCAUUCUAUGAAAGUUAAGUUUUAUAGACGUAAUUAAUUUAGAAAAAUGAGGUUAUUAUAGUUUAAUAGCUAAUUAAUAAUAAUAUAAAUAUUUUUUUCUUAUUUUUAUUUAAUGUAUUGUGUUAUUUUUACUUAAGUAUAUAUUAAUAAUGUUAAUAUAAGUAAUAUUUAUAAAUAAUUUUAAAGAACUCGGCAAACAUAUUUUUCAACUGUUUAUCAAAAACAUAACUAUAUGAUUUUAUAUAUAGCUGUUCCUGCUCAAUGAUUUUAAAUAGCCGCAGUACCCUGACUGUGCAAAGGUAGCAUAAUCAGUUGGCUUUUAAUUGGAGUCUAGAAUGAAUGGAUUUUUGGAAAAUAACUUUCUGUUUUUUAUUUUUUGGAAAUUAGUUUGUAAGUGAAAAUACUUACAUAUACAUAAAGGACGAGAAGACCCUAGAAAUUUAAAUAUAAUUUUGUUGGGGCGACAGAAUUACAAAAAACUAAUUUGUUUAACAUGACGUUUUUACAGGUCGAUUAAAUUACUCUAGGGAUAACAGCAUAAUUUUAACAGUUUGUGACCUCGAUGUUGGAUUAGGAUAUUAAAUGGUCUAGAAGAUCUUUAAUAAGGCUCUGUUCGAGCU